CUCACCAAGGCUACGAUCCGUAACUGGUCUGAGAGGAUGAUCAGUCACACUGGAACUGAGACACGGUCCAGACUCCUACGGGAGGCAGCAGUGGGGAAUAUUGGACAAUGGGCGAAAGCCUUGAUCCAGCCAUGCCGCGUGUGUGAAGAAGGUCUUCGGAUUGUAAAGCACUUUAAGUUGGGAGGAAGGGUACUUACCUUAAUACGUGAGUAUUUUGACGUUACCGACAGAAUAAGCACCGGCUAACUCUGUGCCAGCAGCCGCGGUAAUACAGAGGGUGCAAGCGUUAAUCGGAAUUACUGGGCGUAAAGCGCGCGUAGGUGGUUUGUUAAGUUGGAUGUGAAAGCCCCGGGCUCAACCUGGGAACUGCAUCCAAAACUGGCAAGCUAGAGUAUGGUAGAGGGUGGUGGAAUUUCCUGUGUAGCGGUGAAAUGCGUAGAUAUAGGAAGGAACACCAGUGGCGAAGCGACCACCUGGACUGAUACUGACACUGAGUCGAAA
rnacentral:rRNA from 1 species